rnacentral:tRNA from 1 species
GCCUCGGUAGCUCAGCUGGUAGAGCAGCUGACUCUUAAUCAGCGGGUCCAAGGUUCGAAUCCUUGCCGAGGCA